UACGAGGGGGGCGAGCGUUGUUCGGAAUUAUUGGGCGUAAAGGGUGCGUAGGCGGUUUAGUAAGUCUGAUGUGAAAUCUAUGGGCUCAACUCAUAGUCUGCAUCGGAAACUGCCGGGCUUGAGUAUGGGAGAGGUGAGUGGAAUUCCUGGUGUAGCGGUGAAAUGCGUAGAUAUCAGGAGGAACACCUGUGGCGAAAGCGGCUCACUGGACCAUAACUGACGCUGAUGCACGAAAGCUAGGGGAGCAAACAGG
rnacentral:rRNA from 1 species